GACGAACGCUGGCGGCGUGCCUAAUACAUGCAAGUAGAACGCUGAAGGCGGAGCUUGCUCUUCUGGAUGAGUAGCGAACGGGUGAGUAACGCGUAGGUAACCUGCCUGGUAGCGGGGGAUAACUAUUGGAAACGAUAGCUAAUACCGCAUAACAGUAGAUGUUGCAUGACAUUUACUUAAAAGGUGCAAUUGCAUCACUACCAGAUGGACCUGCGUUGUAUUAGCUAGUUGGUGGGGUAACGGCGCACCAAGGCGACGAUACAUAGCCGACCGGAGAGGGGGAUCGGCCGCACGGGGGCGGAGACACGGCCAAGAGUCCUACGGGAGGCAGCAGUAGGGAACCUUCGGCAAUGGACGGAAGUCUUGCCGAGCAACGCCGCGUGAGUGAAGAAGGUGUUCGGUGCGUAAAGAUCUGUUGUAAGAGAAGAACGGGUGUGAGAGUGGAAAGUGCACACUGUGACGGUAUCUUACCAGAAAGCGACGGCUAACUACGUG
rnacentral:rRNA from 1 species